GCUUUUCUGUGGCUCGGUUAGUAGAGAAUAGCGUUCACGACGCAGAAGUUGUGGGUUCAAACCCCAGGGAAAGCA